rnacentral:rRNA from 1 species
UACAGAGACUGCAAGCGUUAUUCGGAUUCACUGGGCGUAAAGGGUGCGCAGGCGGUUGGGUGUGUCAGAUGUGAAAUCCCGAGGCUUAACCUCGGAACUGCGUCUGAAACUACUCGACUAGAGUACUGGAGAGGGUAACGGAAUUCACGGUGUAGCAGUGAAAUGCGUAGAUAUCGUGAGGAACACCAGAGGCGAAGGCGGUUACCUGGACAGUUACUGACGCUCAGGCACGAAAGUGUGGGGAUCAAACAGG